rnacentral:rRNA from 1 species
GACGAACGCUGGCGGCGUGGAUUAGGCAUGCAAGUCGAACGGUAGGAUACCUUCGGGUAUCUGAGAGUGGCGAACGGGUGAGUAACACGUAGGUGAUCUACCCUCAAGAUUGGGACAACCCAGGGAAACUUGGGCUAAUACCGGAUGAAAGCAGCAGUGAUGUUGUUUGAAAGGUGGCGUAAGCUGCCGUUUGGGGAUGAGCCUGCGCUCUAUUAGUUAGUUGGCGGGGUAAAGGCCCACCAAGGCGAUGAUAGAUAGGCGGCCUUAACGGGUGGUCGCCCACACUGGGAUUGAGAUACGGCCCAGACUCCUACGGGAGGCAGCAGUCGAGAAUAGUCUACAAUGGCCGAAAGGCUGAUAGCGCGACGCCGCGUGAACGAAGAAGCCCUUCGGGUGUAAAGUUCUUUUAUAUGUGAGCAGUGCUUUCUAUGUGAACAGCAUAGGGAGAGAGAUAUUAGCAUAUGAAUAAGCAACGGCUAACUCCGUGCCAGCA